CCUACGGGAGGCAGCAGUGGGGAAUAUUGGACAAUGGGCGCAAGCCUGAUCCAGCAAUGCCGCGUGAGUGAUGAAGGCCUUAGGGUCGUAAAGCUCUUUUACCAGGGAUGAUAAUGACAGUACCUGGAGAAUAAGCUCCGGCUAACUCCGUGCCAGCAGCCGCGGUAAUACGGAGGGAGCUAGCGUUGUUCGGAAUUACUGGGCGUAAAGCGUACGUAGGCGGUUAUUCAAGUCAGAGGUGAAAGCCCGGGGCUCAACCCCGGAACGGCCUUUGAAACUAGGUGGCUAGAAUCUUGGAGAGGUCAGUGGAAUUCCGAGUGUAGAGGUGAAAUUCGUAGAUAUUCGGAAGAACACCAGUGGCGAAGGCGACUGACUGGACAAGUAUUGACGCUGAGGUACGAAAGCGUGGGGAGCAAACAGGAUUAGAUACCCUGGUAGUCCACGCCGUAAACGAUGAUAACUAGCUGUCCGGGCACUUGGUGCCUGGGUGGCGCAGCUAACGCAUUAAGUUAUCCGCCUGGGGAGUACGGUCGCAGAUUAAAACGUCAAAUGAAUUGAACGGCUGAGACGUGCGAGACGACGACGAGGAGAGG
rnacentral:rRNA from 1 species